rnacentral:tRNA from 10 species
GGAGAGAUGACCGAGAGGCCGAAGGUGCACGAUUGGAAAUCGUGUGUGCUCCAAAAGAGUACCUAGGGUUCGAAUCCCUAUCUCUCCGCCA